UCCCGCCGCUGCCACCG
rnacentral:miRNA from 1 species